UUGAGUUUUCUUCCCUGUCAUGCACUGUCCCAGCAUGCAUUCUAGCAAUCUAAUUUAUACUGUGGGCAUCCCUAGGUGAGUUCUAACCUUCUUCUUUGUUCUUAUUUAAUUUCCUAACACUGUUAUAACUUCCUUCAUAUUCUGUCAGUUUUCCUGCACUUGUAUGAUUGUUAUCUCCUGUUGGACAGCAACCUAGUAAUGUGAGGCUGGAUCAGAAAGGACCUAGCCCCAGGCAGGAACUUAGUGGGAUCUUCUUGAACUAAGUUUAAUGCUGGUUUGAUCUUCAAAACUAGACAGCAAUUGAUGAAUGAUUGAGGAGAUCAAACGCUUUAAUGGAUCAGCAAAACUCUCUCAAUAACAGUGUUGAUUUUAGUGCUUUUCCCAAACAGGGAAUAGCGCUAAUAUUAGUGCCUACGACAGGGACCAUUUGGUCCUUGUUAUGUUUGUUUGGGUCUUUUUGGCCUUUUCCUUAUGUAAGUGGGGGGCUUUAUUGUCUUUCCUCUUGACCUAAUGUUAUAUAUUCAUAAGAGAACCUGAGAUUAGAUUCAUAUUGAAUCAAUCUCAGGUUGCUCUCCAUUCUUAAGACUUCCUUUGGUUACUUCAUCUUCUUCCUCUCCUCUUUUCUCUGUCUCUUUUCAUUCUUGUUUCUGGUUUUCUGGUUUAGCUACAGCUUCUGAGAUUGUAACAUGGUAUCUGAACUGCUGUAGUUAAAUUAAUUGGGUUCCGAAGACAAGAAAUUUGCUGGUUAUGAUUUAGAGGUUCUUCUUCUUGGUGCGCAGCCACUCAUUGCUGCAACUGCUAUUAUCUAAUCCCUAAUGGAGUGAUUUUUCCUUUGUGAAGAUGUACCUUGCAUUUACUGUUGGAGUAAGUGGCUGAUUGCUUGAUGAUUUGAAGCCGGCUUCUCUCCUUCUUCUAUUUUACUCUACCUAUAUGAUGGCGGUUAGGUUUGAGGCUGCUGUUCUUGAGUGAUUGAUCUAGUUUAUCCUACCUAUAUGAGUUGUUUGAUGCAUAUAUGUGCUUGCUGCUGAUAGUGCUUAUUGAUGCUUAUGCUUGCUUGUUGCCGAUAUAUUUUAUUGAUGCCUACAUGUUCAGAUCUGAAUUGUGGUAUGGAAAGUUGGAUUGAAUGCUAAGUUUCAGAUCUGAAUUGCAUUACUAGCUGUCUGAUUGCUUGAUGAUUUGAAGCCAUUUAUUGUUGGAGUAAGUGGCUGAUUGCUUGAUGAUUUGAAGCCGGCUUCUCUCCUUCUUCUAUUUUACUCUACCUAUAUGAUGGCGGUUAGGUUUGAGGCUGCUGUUCUUGAGUGAUUGAUCUAGUUUAUCCUACCUAUAUGAGUUGUUUGAUGCAUAUAUGUGCUUGCUGCUGAUAGUGCUUAUUGAUGCUUAUGCUUGCUUGUUGCCGAUAUAUUUUAUUGAUGCCUACAUGUUCAGAUCUGAAUUGUGGUAUGGAAAGUUGGAUUGAAUGCUAAGUUUCAGAUCUGAAUUGCAUUACUACCUGUCUGGAUACGUUCAUACUAUUGUUUGCUAGUCACUUUACUUGAUUGUCAUGGCUGGGAUUUUUCCUGUUACUACUUCUGCUAUUGCUUCUUCUGCAUCGGAUAAUAUCAAUGUCCAGAUCACCUCUAUCGAGCUCAAAGGGGGCCCGAACUAUCUUCUUUGGGCUCAGUCUGUUAAGGUGUAUUUGUUAGCUAAAGGCAAACUGAGCUAUACCACUUCUGAGGCUCCUUUGCCUGGUGAUGCUAAGUAUGACAAUUGGAUGAAGGAGAUUACCUUGAUUCUGAUCUGGUUAUGGAAUAGAGUAUGAAACCAGAUGUAGUUGCCAAUGUUAUGUUCCAUUCUAUAGCCAAGGGAGUAUGGGAUGAUCUGAAGGAAACAUACUCCCAAGAGAAGAACAUGACACGGAUCUAUGACAUAUAUGAGAAGCUUUUCCAGUUUCGUCAAUCUGACAAAUCCCUCUUUCAGUAUUACAGUACUUUUAGGGAAUGGUGGAAGAGCUAAAUGUCUUCCAGCCUCUGACUACUGAUAUUGAGAAGUUGAAGGCUCAGCGGAAUGAGUUCUUCGUUUCCAAAUUUUUGGCCGGUCUGAACAGUUAUUUGAAGGCGAUAAAAGGGCCAUCUACUUGCUGGUGAUACGUUUCUCACUCUGAAUGAUGCUUUUUCACGACUACAGCAUAUCACCUCCUCAUCCAAAUUUGAUCAGCCUUCUAGAGAUAAUUCUGCAUUCUUUGCUAACCGUGGUAGUAGGCGCGGUCACAGAGGAGGACGUGGUCCUAUGGGUCGAGGUUUUAGUGGACAGUCCUCGGAUCUCACCGGUUGCCAGUGUAUUUACUAUGGUAAACCUAACCAUACUGUAGAGACAUGCUGGGCCAAGCAUGGCAAGCCAGAGUGGGCAACUCAGUUAGCCAAUCAUGCAGUGUCCGAUGAUGGUACUGAUAUUGUAUCUUUGGCGAUUACUACACCUAUACCUGCUUCAUUAGAUUCUUGUACUAGUAUGCUCGAUGACAUCAACAAGUUACUCCGGUGCUUGCACUCUCUUGAGGCUUCUUCUAGUACAUCCCAUGGUGCCUCCACAUCUGCUGCUACCCUUGCGCAUGCAAGUACAUCAACUCUUCUUUCCACUACAUCUACCCCCUGGAUCAUUGAUUCAGGUGCUUCCGCUCACAUGACUGGAUCUUCACUCGAGGAAGACGAUUGGUGGAGGGUGUAAAAAUGAUGGAUUGUAUUACCUUAAUAGUGGCUGUCCUCCCACUUUUGCUGCCGCUACUGCUGUUGAGGAUGUCUCUCCAUUCCAAUGGCACUGCCGUCUAGGACACUUGGCCUUACCUAGAUUACGGCUUUUGUUUCCCAGUUUUCUACAUGUUUCUAGAUCAAAGUGUGAGGCCUGUGAGUUGGGUAAACACCAUCAGGUGUUUUUUCCAUCUCAUUCAGUGUCUCGUAGUCUGUCGUUUUCUUUAGUUCAUUCUGAUAUAUAGGGUCCUUGCAGGGUUAGAAAUAGGUUUGGUUUUCGCUAUUUUGUUAUAUUUGUAGAUUAUCAUUCUUGCCUCACAUGGCUUUACAUGUUAAAGGACCGAUCUGUGUUCCAAAAAUUCUAUAAUGAAAAAAAAACUCAGUUUGGCAUUCCAUUAAGAUUUUUUGUUCUGAUCAUGCUUUA